UCUCUUCUCUUUUCACAAGCCACCCUCACUUCAAAUGUCACUCACUCAACCACCAAGUCAGCCCCUUCAUCUAUACCCCACUCCACCCUCAUUUGCUUGCCCAAACUUACACUUUUUCAUCCAUUUUUCCAAGUGCAAACCGAGAGAGCUAGAGAGAAACUUUUCUAGGCAGUUUUGCUUGCUUGAUUCCAGCCAUUUAAUGAUAGAUGAAGUGCCAGGAAGUAGAAGAUCGGUGAACCAUCGACUUGAUGAUGUCGAAUAGACCGAGGAGGAGCCUCAAGGAGAUGAGAGGGAUGGUUCUCUGAUUUUCGGAUAUCGUUUUGGAACUAAUAGCGAAGCUGUGCGAGCAACUUGGCGCUUAGUUUAGACUCCGUUUACCUGCAACUAAUGAGUUACAACUUUAGUACUAUGCUUAUUUUGUUAUAAUCUGGUUAGAACCACGAUGUAACUUUUGGUUGUGAAUAUUUAUGAAAAUAUAUUUACGUUUUG